rnacentral:lncRNA from 1 species
AACCUUACUUUCAAAGUUCAAAGAGCAGUACAUUGUGCUCUUUCAGGUAUACAGUUACACAGUGUCCUCCCAAACUUGAACGCUUUUUUGUAUGAGAUAGAAGAAUUUGCAUGCCUUUUUCCUCCUUGGUACCUCUCAGCUUGAAAACAACAACGACAACAACAACAACAAAAAACAGCUGGAAGUUCUCCAACUUGGAAUAAGAAAACAAUGAUUGUUUCACAGAUGAGAACACUCAAGCAAAACAAGAUCGGCACAGCACAUGGU